GACGAACGCUGGCGGCGUGCUUAACACAUGCAAGUCGAACGGAAAGGCCCUGCUUUUGUGGGGUGCUCGAGUGGCGAACGGGUGAGUAACACGUGAGUAACCUGCCCUUGACUUUGGGAUAACUUCAGGAAACUGGGGCUAAUACCGGAUAGGAGCUCCUGCUGCAUGGUGGGGUUGGAAAGUUUCGGCGGUUGGGGAUGGACUCGCGGCUUAUCGGCUUGUUGGUGGGGUAGUGGCUUACCAAGGCUUUGCCGGGUAGCCGGCCUGGGAGGGUGACCGGCCACAUUGGGACUGAGAUACGGCCCAGACUCCAACGGGAGGCAGCAGUGGGGAAUAUUGCACAAUGGGCGGAAGCCUGAUGCAGCGACGCCGCGUGCGGGAUGACGGCCUUCGGGUUGUAAACCGCUUUAGCCUGUGACGAAGCGUGAGUGACGGUAAUGGGUAAAGAAGCACCGGCUAACUACGUG
rnacentral:rRNA from 1 species